CGUUCUUUCCAGGCUGCUUGAAGGUGAGUGAGGAGGUGCGGGAAUGGAGGGCUUGUUAAUUGCAGUUAGUGGGCUGUGGGGUUGUAGUUUUACUCUUAUACUUUGUGCAGUUAUUUUUAGUCUCUUUUUAAUUACAAUUAUUAUUUAUUUUCGGGACAUGUUAUUUAAAGGGAACGUUCACCUCAGACCAUAUUCUACAUUUGAAUCAUCCCUGUGAGAUAAAACCACAUCUUUAUUAAUUUAAAUAUUCUGUAUUGAAGCUACAGAGUUGAUAAUCCAGGGAUGAGCCCAGAUAUAGUUCUGUCUGUUCUCGGCUCUCUGUAAGGGGGUUUCCAGCCCAGGACUCGGCAGCCAAACAAAAAAAAUCCCACUCAACUGGCUCUGCUUGUUUCAUUUGCAUAUCUCUGAUGGGAUUGGCUAGUACCAUUUAGCCAAUCGGAUGAGUGAAAUGCAAAUGAAGCAGGAGAGGCAUGUGCAGUAAUUGGAUCAGUGACCACUUCCUGUGUGGGCAGAAUGGGCUUCAGUGUGGGCGAAUCCAGCCAGAGAGGCAGCAGAGUUUUAGCAGCUGCAAUCCACAGUUUCUAUGGUCUGUAGCUUCACAACUAUCCAUUUAAAAUUGUUUCUUCUGACUAUGACUGUUCAAAUUUAGACUUUAUGUUCUGAAGGUGAACCUCCCUUUAAGCUAAAACAAUUUGUACACUUGGCUCUGUGGAAUUCUAGAUGUUCAACCACUUUGUGUGCCUCCAUUUCUUGGCAUGUUGGGUGUUGCUCUGUACCCCUACAUGUAAUGUACGGAGGUAGAUUAUGUCCCCGGUGCUAUGUCUUCGGUGCCAGUCCCUCUCCUGGGCUGGUUCUAUCCUCAAUCACUGGGACAGUUUGAGCCAAUCCCUGACCUACAUCUGCAAUUUACCUGGGCAGGUGAGAAGAAUUGGAUUACAGAAUGGCUGGAUUUGGAUUCCUGAAAGUCCCAAACUUUUGACUUCUCAACACCCCCUGGAGAGUGCGAAGUGCUUGGGCUCUGUAAUAUUUAACAAUUUAUCUCCAGACCUUUGAGCGCUGCUCCUGAUAAAUAUUAUGUAUUGUCAUUUAGAUUUUAUAUAUAAUUAUUAUAGCCCUCCUACACGCAUGCGCACACACAACAGGUAUAACAUAGAAAUCUUACUGACUUGUAUUGCUCUAAUAAAAAAUGAAUAGUUUAAAACUUAAAGCUGUUCAUCACUGGUGGUUGCAUGCGAAUUCCAUUUUUCUAAAUUUCUUCUCAGUCUUGAUGUGACACUUUGCCUGUAAUUUCUUAGUAGUGACAGAUAAUGUUGCCAGUGUUCUUUCUGCACCAAACAAUAAAUUACCUAUUCUCCCAA